rnacentral:lncRNA from 1 species
UUUAAGGUAAACUUUACCUAUUUCAUGGUUUUCCAUGAAUCAACUAGAGUUUGUCAUACAUAGCAUCAAAAUAAUCGUAAUUAACCAUUCCCAAUGGCUAAUCGUUACCAAACAUUUCCAUACCUCUUAAUGAACAACAUACAAAACGAUUAUAAUGCUAUGCUCAAAGUGUAUAUAAGCCAUUUUCGCAUGGCUAUCCAAAUUUAUACAAAACCAAAGGGUACAUGACCAACAACAAAAAGGGUAGUCCUAUACAUGCCAUUUUCAGAGUUCAACCAAAAGUGUACCAAAAGGGCUUUGAUAGUGU